rnacentral:rRNA from 1 species
UACAUGGGGUGCAAACGUUGCUCGGAAUUACUGGGCGUAAAGGGCUCGUAGGCGGCCAACUAAGUCGGACGUGAAAUCCCCAGGCUCAACCUGGGAACUGCGUCUGAUACUGGAUGGCUUGAAUCCGGGAGAGGGAUGCAGAAUUCCAGGUGUAGCGGUGAAAUGCGUAGAUAUCUGGAGGAAUACCGGUGGCGAAGGCGGCAUCCUGGACCGGCAUUGACGCUGAGGAGCGAAAGCCAGGGGAGCAAACGGG